rnacentral:lncRNA from 1 species
GAACAUGUCAUUGUGACUCAUAAUCAUAUUAUGGUCAUGUAGAAAGUAAAAGUAGUACCUAAUGGAUUUCUUACAAUACUCUAUAAAUCGAGCUAUAACUGAUCUAUCUUCUAACUUAUCAGUUUUCUAUUUUUUUAACAUAGAUCGGACAUCCCCAAGUCUUAAGGUAACUCAGACUCAAUUUCUUAUCAUGCCAUAUCUCAUAUGGUAUGGUA